ensembl:snRNA U6 U6 spliceosomal RNA
AUGCUCCCUUCCACAGUAUAUCCACUGAAAUUGAAGCAGUACAGAAAAGAUCAGCCUAGAUCCUGAGCAAGGAUGACACACAAAAUUCACGAAGCAUUCCAUAUUUUU